GGCCCUUUGGCCAAGUGGUAAGGUGUUCUCCUCCGGUGCAUGUCUCCUCCAUCUCUCUCUUCCUAUAUAGGGAUUGAGGGUUGGGUUGGCAGAGCAGUGUAAGAGAAAGAUCGCUGGUUCAAUCCCAGCAUGGGUCG